GACCCAUAAAUUGGUUUUCAUUUCUGUGAUGUUGAAGGAGUAGGAAGUCGUAGCCCAAUUGAUGGAUUUUUUCCAUGGUGACUACACACGUGAGCACCCGGAUGGAAGUAAGUUCUCUCUAGAAGUACGAAAACCACACUCUAUAAGUCUCUCAUCAUGCCCAUGCUGGUAUAUGGCGCAAAGCAUGGAAAAUGAUUACAUCCGGUAAGGCGGCUCUUGCAGUACACGUUUCCACACGUUUCAUUAUUUUGAUUUCGUUGACACAAUUUUUAAACAUUUUUAUGCAGGCCUUUGAAGCUUGAAAAUCUUUUAUCUGAGGCAGGAACGCUGUAAAUGAGUCUUUAUUUUACACAGAAGCAGAGUAUCCUCCUCAAGUUUCUGGAGAUCGAUGAGCGAAUCUUAAAAAGCACCUACUGCCAACAUGUUGCAACUGCAAAUUUUAUUGUUUGUAUGAAGCUCCACUCGAACAUGCUGGAAGUGGCUCCA